UACGGGGGGGGCAAGCGUUGUUCGGAAUUACUGGGCGUAAAGAGCUCGUAGGCGGCUUGUUGCGUCAGCUGUGAAAACCCGCAGCUCAACUGUGGGCUUGCAGCUGAUACGGGCAGGCUUGAGUUCGGUAGGGGAGACUGGAAUUCCCAGUGUAGAGGUGAAAUUCGUAGAUAUUGGGAAGAAACACCGGUGGCGAAGGCGGCCUGCUGGGCAGUAGCUGACACUGAGGCGCGACAGCGUGGGGAGCAAACAGG
rnacentral:rRNA from 1 species